rnacentral:rRNA from 1 species
GACGAACGCUGGCGGCGUGCCUAAUACAUGCAAGUAGGACGCAGUUGCGAACGGGUGAGUAACGCGUAGGUACCUGCCUGUUAGAGGGGGGUAACUAUUGGAAACGAUAGCUAAUACCGCAUACUAGUAGAUGGACCUGCGUUGUGUUAGCUAGUAGGUAGGGUGAUGGCCUACCUAGGCGACGAUACAUAGCCGACCUGGGAGGUUGACCGGCCACACUGGGACUGAGACACGGCCCAGACUCCUACGGGAGGCAGCAGUAGGGAAUCUUCGGCAAUGGGGGGAAGUCUGACGGAGCAACGCCGCGUGAGUGAAGAAGGUCUUCGGAUCGUAAAGCUCUGUUGUUAAGGAAGCGGUACCUAACCAGAAAGCGACGGCUAACUACGUGCCAGCAGCCGCGGUAAUAC